UACCUUGAAACCUUUCCUAUUCAUGUACUGAACCAAAACUUGUUUGAAAUGUAACUCUACUGCAUCCAUCACUUCGUUUGCAGUUCAUUCUACAAAUGACCCAUCUUCUUUGUUUAAAAAAAAAUUGCCCCUCAGGCCCCUCUUAAAUCUUUCCCCCCUCACCUUAAAAAUAUGCCCUGUAGUUUUGAAUUCUUCGGAAAAGAUCUGUCCAGUGGGGAAAAAAGUGCGAGUCCCUCUUGCCUCUCCUUUUCACUCUAACCCUCCAGUCCUUGUAACAUCCUUUCAAAUCUUUUCUGCACCCUUUUCCAAUUUAAUAAUAUCCUUCCUACUGCAGGGCAACCAGAACUGUACACAGUAGUCCCAUUGGAAUUAGAGGACUCAGCACCAUGCAACAGAUCUUGAUCAUUUCAUUUUGUUAUCACUGGUGAUUGACUGAACUGAAUUUCUGUGUCUGUAUCCCAGAUAUUAACAGCCAAUAGACACUCUCAGGGUGUUUAUAAUCUGAGACGAUGGAAUUCCCAAACCAGGCAUUGAUGUAGCAGCUCAAGGUACUCUCAAUAACCCCUCAAAAAAUGGUGAGCCUGGAGGUACAUCAAGUCAUAAUGAUGUACGCAUGAGUUUAUUUAUCUGAAAAAUACUGCCCCACACUCCACUAAUCACAAUUUUAU